GGUAGCAGCAGCAACAGUCGAGUAACAGACUCGAUGCAGCGCGGUGGGACAUUCCAGAUAGCGUUACGCCUAGGAUUUCAGUACACGUCGAGUUGGCCACGUGCACGGACACGGACACGUCGAGAGUCGAGUCGGGCGGUUCGCGUGCCCCAAUCGCGGCGUUCCAGAAACAAUCACAGAAACAAUAUAACUACAAAUUCGCGUUACGGUUCGGUUCGGUUACAAAAUCAAAAUAAAACUCUAGUGAAAAUCGCCUCUCAAUUGAUUGGUUUGGCUUCUUCUCCAAGUGUUUGUUCUCGCUUAUUUCAUUUCAAUAGUUUCCUUUUUGUUGUCAAUUUUUUCUCUGUGCAAAUUCGAAAGUGUGAAAAGUAUGCCAAUGUGCCGGCUGGGAGAAAUGCGCGCCAAAAAUUCAGAAAUUUACUCCGAGAAAUGCAACAACAAUAUUUCAAUUUAAUUGAAAGAAUCGUAAAAGCAUUUGAAAAAAUGAUGUACCUAAAUGUAUUCCUAAUCAUCAGAUAAAGAUUUCAAUUAAAUUGGUUUCGGUAAAACAUUAAUUCUGCCCUUAAAUGACAAUUCAAAGAUACAGCCAAAAGUGUGUAAAAACUAAUAUCUUCA
rnacentral:lncRNA from 1 species